UAAAUUGAAAUUGUGUUAUAUCGCUUUUUGAGUAGGAGUGUUGUCAAACAUAGCUUGGACUUGCUGAGGUGUCUUUUGUCCUCAGAGGCUUAAUGUUUUGUCGUAGGUACUG